rnacentral:rRNA from 1 species
GCGGUAGAGAGGUGCUUGCACCUCUUGAGAGCGGCGGACGGGUGAGUAAUGCCUAGGAAUCUGCCUGGUAGUGGGGGAUAACGCUCGGAAACGGACGCUAAUACCGCAUACGUCCUACGGGAGAAAGCAGGGGACCUUCGGGCCUUGCGCUAUCAGAUGAGCCUAGGUCGGAUUAGCUAGUUGGUGAGGUAAUGGCUCACCAAGGCGACGAUCCGUAACUGGUCUGAGAGGAUGAUCAGUCACACUGGAACUGAGACACGGUCCAGACUCCUACGGGAGGCAGCAGUGGGGAAUAUUGGACAAUGGGCGAAAGCCUGAUCCAGCCAUGCCGCGUGUGUGAAGAAGGUCUUCGGAUUGUAAAGCACUUUAAGUUGGGAGGAAGGGCAGUUACCUAAUACGUAAUUGUUUUGACGUUACCGACAGAAUAAGCACCGGCUAACUCUGUGCCAGCAGCCGCGGUAAUACAGAGGGUGCAAGCGUUAAUCGGAAUUACUGGGCGUAAAGCGCGCGUAGGUGGUUCGUUAAGUUGGAUGUGAAAGCCCCGGGCUCAACCUGGGAACUGCAUUCAAAACUGUCGAGCUAGAGUAUGGUAGAGGGUGGUGGAAUUUCCUGUGUAGCGGUGAAAUGCGUAGAUAUAGGAAGGAACACCAGUGGCGAAGGCGACCACCUGGACUGAUACUGACACUGAGGUG